rnacentral:rRNA from 1 species
AGUGGCAGACGGGUGAGUAACAUGUAGGUAUCUGCCCUUUGGCCUGGAAUAACACGAGGAAACUUGUGCUAAUACCGGAUAAGUCUUUACGGAGAAAGCUUUAUGCACCAUUGGAUGAGCCUGCACUUGAUUAGUUUGUUGGUGGGGUAAUGGCCUACCAAGACUGUGAUCAAUAGCUGAUUUGAGAGGAUGAUCAGCCACAUUGGGACUGAGACACGGCCCAAACUCCUACGGGAGGCAGCAGUGGGGAAUCUUGCACAAUGGAGGAAACUCUGAUGCAGCGAUGCCGCGUGAGUGAAGAAGGCCCUUGGGUUGUAAAGCUCUUUCGUCGGGGAAGAAAAUGACUGUACCCGAAUAAGAAGGUCCGGCUAACUUCGUGCCAGCAGCCGCGGUAAUACGAAGGGACCUAGCGUAGUUCGGAAUUACUGGGCUUAAAGAGUUCGUAGGUGGUUGAAAAAGUUAGUGGUGAAAUCCCAGAGCUUAACUCUGGAACUGCCAUUAAAACUUUUCAGCUAGAGUAUGAUAGAGGAAAGCAGAAUUUCUAGUGUAGAUGUGAAAUUCGUAGAUAUUAGAAAGAAUACCAAUUGCGAAGGCAGCUUUCUGGAUCAUUACUGACACUGAGGAACGAAAGCAUGGGUAGCGAAGAGGAUUAGAUACCCUCGUAGUCCAUGCCGUAAACGAUGUGUGUUAGACGUUGGAAAUUUAUUUUCAGUGUCGCAGGGAAACCGAUAAACACACCGCCUGGGGAGUAC